rnacentral:rRNA from 1 species
UACAGAGGGUGCAAGCGUUAAUCGGAAUUACUGGGCGUAAAGCGCGCGUAGGCGGUUGUGUAAGUUGGAGGUGAAAUCCCCGGGCUUAACCUGGGCAUUGCCUUCAAAACUGCAUGGCUAGAGUACGGGAGAGGGGGGUAGAAUUCCAGGUGUAGCGGUGAAAUGCGUAGAGAUCUGGAGGAAUACCGAUGGCGAAGGCAGCCCCCUGGCCUGCUACUGACGCUGAAGUGCGAAAGCAUGGGGAGCAAACAGG